GUCACCGUAGCGCAGAGGUUAGCGUGACCGCCUGUGACGCUGAAAGCCUGGGUUCGAAUCCUGGCGAGAACA
rnacentral:tRNA from 1 species